GAUGAACGCUGGCGGCGUGCCUAAUACAUGCAAGUCGAGCGAACGGAUGAGAAGCUUGCUUCUCUGAUGUUAGCGGCGGACGGGUGAGUAACACGUGGAUAACCUACCUAUAAGACUGGGAUAACUUCGGGAAACCGGAGCUAAUACCGGAUAAUAUUUUGAACCGCAUGGUUCAAAAGUGAAAGACGGUCUUCUGUCACUUAUAGAUGGAUCCGCGCUGCAUUAGCUAGUUGGUAAGGUAACGGCUUACCAAGGCAACGAUGCAUAGCCGACCUGAGAGGGUGAUCGGCCACACUGGAACUGAGACACGGUCCAGACUCCUACGGGAGGCAGCAGUAGGGAAUCUUCCGCAAUGGGCGAAAGCCUGACGGAGCAACGCCGCGUGAGUGAUGAAGGUCUUCGGAUCGUAAAACUCUGUUAUUAGGGAAGAACAUAUGUGUAAGUAACUGUGCACAUCUUGACGGUACCUAAUCAGAAAGCCACGGCUAACUACGUG
rnacentral:rRNA from 1 species